UACGUAGGGGGCUAGCGUUGCUCGGAAUUACUGGGCGUAAAGCGCACGUAGGCGGCUUUCUAAGUCGGGGGUGAAAUCCUGGAGCUCAACUCCAGAACUGCCUUCGAUACUGGAAAGCUCGAGUCCGGGAGAGGUGAGUGGAACUGCGAGUGUAGAGGUGAAAUUCGCAGAUAUCAGGAAGAACACCGGUGGCGAAGGCGGCUCGCUGGGCCAGUUCUGACACUCAUCCGCGAAAGCGUGGGGAGCAAACAGGG
rnacentral:rRNA from 1 species